CAGCAGCCGCGGGAAAACAGAGGGUGCGAGCGUUAAUCGGAUUUACUGGGCGUAAAGCGUGCGUAGGCGGCUUCUUAAGUCGGAUGUGAAAUCCCUGAGCUUAACUUAGGAAUUGCAUUCGAUACUGGGAAGCUAGAGUAUGGGAGAGGAUGGUAGAAUUCCAGGUGUAGCGGUGAAAUGCGUAGAGAUCUGGAGGAAUACCGAUGGCGAAGGCAGCCAUCUGGCCUAAUACUGACGCUGAGGUACGAAAGCAUGGGGAGCAAACAGGAUUAGAGACCCCUGUAGUCCCUGUCUCUUAUAC
rnacentral:rRNA from 1 species